CAAAUAGAUUGUGGAAUCUGAGAUCCCGUUCAGUAUAAUUCCAAUUCCUUUAUGGCCCUUUUUAUAUCCUUUAGCAAUACAGACUAGUACAGAACCAUCACCAAAAGGUUUUGUACUGGUUUGGAACAUAGAGAAAGAUGGAAGUGUUUGAUGAAAUUGGGCAGAGAAAUCCUGACUGAGGAAGUUGGAGGACUACCAGGUCUUUGAGGACACGGAGCGCAUUGUACAUCCUGGCUUUGCUGUAACCAACGAAUAAACUCAAAGCAAAACAGAAGUUCA
rnacentral:lncRNA from 1 species